UGACUUAAGACUUUGGGAGACUGUUGGGAAGGUAUGAUUGGUUUUGAAAUGGGAGGACAUGAGAUUUGGGAGGGGCCAGGGGCAGAAUGAUACAGUUUGGCUGUGUCUCCACCCAAAUCUCACCUUGAAUUGUAGCUCUCAUAAGUCCCACGUGUCCUGGGAGGGGCCCGAUCAGACGUAACUGAAUCAUGGGGUUGGAUUUUUUCCCCACGCUGUUCUCAUGAUAAUGAGUAAGUCUCACAAGAUCUGAUGGUUUAUAAAGCGGAGUUCCCCUACACAAGCUCUCGUCUGCCACCACAUAAGAUGUAAGAUGUAACUUCGCUCCUCCUUUGCCUUCCGCCAUAAUUAUGGGGCUUCCCCAGCCAUAUGGAACUCUCCUGACAUGCCAAUUGAGAAAGAGACAUGUGACGUGAAUCCUAAAUGAUAAGCAGAAGUUUGUCCAAAGAGAAGAGAAACAAGGGAAAUUUUGGUGUGAAAAAUAAGGAGGCCAAGACGUAGAGCCAAGGCUGUGUGGCCUGUGUUUGAAGAAUGAAAAGAUUUAGGAGGAAGCAAAGCAAGGAGACUAGAAACAUGGACUUUAGAGGCAGAGUGAUGGAGAUUUGGAUCCUGGAUCUGCACGUUGGCGUCCUGAGCUGAUGAAAUGAGAUGGUGCCUGUAUUCCCCACAGACACUCACUGGGCAGUGUUAGCUGCUCUUGUUAGAGCUCACAUUCAAGAGCACAUGCACAGAACCUGCACAGGAAUGUUCACAGCAACAUUAUUCAUAAUGGUGGCCAAAGUGGAAACAGCCCAAAUAUCUAUCAACUGUUGAAUGGAUAAAUAAAAUGUGAUAUACCCAUGCAACAGAAUAUGAUUCAGUCAGAAAGAGCAAUGAAACCCUGAUGCAUGCUACAACAUAGAUGAACCAUGAAAAACAUUCCACUCAUGUUUUCCUUAGCCAGCUGCAGAGGCAAGUCACAGAAGACCACAUAUUGUAUGAUUUUACUUGUAGGCAAUGUCUAGAAUAAGCAAACCCACAGAGACAGAAAACUGAUUGGUGGUUGCUGAAAACUAGGGGGUUUGGGGUGAAAUGGGGAGUGACUGCUAAUGAGCUACUUUUUAAGGUGAAAUGUAAUGAUGGUUGCACAAGUCUGAAUAGUAAAAAGCCCUGAUUUGUACACCUUUUUUUUUUUUUUUUGAGAUGGAGUUUUGCUCUGUCACCCCGGUUGGAGUGCAGUGGUUUGAUCUCAGCUCACUGCAAGCUCUGCCUCCCAGGCUCAAGCCAUUCUCCUGCCUCAGCCUCCCAAGUAGCUGGGAUUACAGCCACCUACCACCACACCUGGCUAUUUUUUGUAUUUUUAGUAGAGCAAGGUUUCACCACGUUGGCCAGGCUGGUCUUGAUCUCCUGACCUCUUGAUCGUGGUCUUGAUCUGCUCAACUCUGCCUCCCAAAGCGCUGGGAUUACAGGCGUGAGGCCCAGGCACCUGGCCCAAUUUGUAGACUUUAAAUUGGCAAAUUGCGUGACAUGUGAAUUAGGUAUUGAGAAGGCUAUCAUAAAAAAGAUCACACCUACAAUAAUGUCAAUCUCAUUGUAAUUUCAGUGCUGUUUGAAUGGGAGAGGACAGAACGGCCUGUCCCCUUGGACAUGUCCAUGGAUGUGUGUCAUAGGUGGUGACAUCAAUGUGACUAAAAGUUGAGGAGCCACCGCCUUAGAAAAAUAAGCAUCAGUCUCUUGAUUCACUAUCUCCAUAUGACAGCUUUGCCCCUGGGACCCUCCUCUCACCUUCUUUUCUCUUAGGGCAAGGCACAAAAGGUACAAACCAGGAGGGAAAAUGAGGUUUGAAUAAUAAGUGGUUUUCAAUUAGCUGCAGUGAAAAUUGAGAGUCGACUUGUAUUAAUUUUCACGAUCAAAUUACUUCAUUUUCUCUCUCCCCUGACUGCUAGGGUAAUUUUAUGCCAGAAUUAUUUUAGUCAUUCUAAUUAUGCAUGCAUCAAUAUUUAGUGGGUGUUUACCUAACCCACAGCACACCCAAAUGUUUUUGCUCCCCCAGAGACCACAGCAGUGCAAUAAAAUAUUAAUAGGUGGU